UCCGCUGCUAGAAAUUCCUUUCUCUUCCAAUGAAUUCGCUCACUACUCUGUUCUGCAUCUAACACCUGGACCGAAGCUAUCACGAUGACUUGGUAAUAUCUUGUUUACUUGUUCUGAAAGGAAAAUAGUAAUCUAAGGCAUAAGUAAUUUAUUUAAGCUUACUUGCAUAAUUAGAGGCGUCCAGAUGUUGACCUAUCCGACAACGCUAUUAUAGUUGGGCGUUCGGAUUCGGUGUUCUGUGCCUUUUGAUAGUAAUUGGGCGUCCGUACUCGGUGGUCUGUGCCUUUUGAUGUGGAUAGAGAUGGUUGUCCAUAAGGCGUCAAGACGCGUUGGGUCCUGGCCUUGUGUAGGUAGAGAUGUUAAAGUAACUAGUUGCACAUGAUGUAAACUGGAUGAGCAUGUAACUGCUUUAGAGGUUUGUGAUUGCUUUAGUAAUCUGUAAGAUAUACUUGAGUUUGAUCGGUUGAGAUUGUAACUGCUUUAGUAAGGUGUUUAACGUCGAGGUUUGCUAGACGACGGGAGUGACCAUCCCACAAGGUGUUCGNGAACAACCGACCCGUUCGNUGAUUAACNUCUAGUCGACAGGAGUGACCAUCCUGUAAGGUGUUUAACGUCCAGGUUUGCUAGACGACGGGAGUGACCAUCCCACAAGGUGUUUAAUGUCCAGGGUCGCUGGGCGACGGGAGAGAUAAUCCCGCAAGGUGUUUAACGUCCAGGGUCGCUGGGCGACGGGAGUGACCAUCCCGCAAGGUGUUUAAUGUCCAGGGUCACUCUAGUAAUCUGUAAGAUAUACUUGAGUCUGAUCG
rnacentral:lncRNA from 1 species